rnacentral:rRNA from 1 species
AUUGAACGCUGGCGGAAUGCUUUACACAUGCAAGUCGAACGGCAGCACGGGGGCAACCCUGGUGGCGAGUGGCGAACGGGUGAGUAAUACACCGGAACGUGCCCAGUCGUGGGGAAUAACGUAGCGAAAGUUACGCUAAUACCGCAUACGAUCUACGGAUGAAAGCGGGGGACCGUAAGGCCUCGCGCGAUUGGAGCGGCCGAUGUCAGAUUAGGUAGUUGGUGAGGUAAAGGCUCACCAAGCCGACGAUCUGUAGCUGGUCUGAGAGGACGACCAGCCACACUGGGACUGAGACACGGCCCAGACUCCUACGGGAGGCAGCAGUGGGGAAUUUUGGACAAUGGGCGCAAGCCUGAUCCAGCCAUUCCGCGUGCAGGAUGAAGGCCUUCGGGUUGUAAACUGCUUUUGUACGGAACGAAAAGGCUCUGGUUAAUACCUGGGGCUCAUGACGGUACCGUAAGAAUAAGCACCGGCUAACUACGUGCCAGCAGCCGCCGUAA